UGCAGACAAAAGAGAAUAGCCUACUAAAUAAGACAGAGACAUACAAUUAUAAAACUGAACACAAGAUGAAAUAUUGACGAUAACGUUACUGCUUUCACUUGCACACAGUGUGUGUGUGGAGGAGAGGGAGAGUGUUUAACCAAUGAUUCUGGACAAUGUGAGAGGCUUUGGAGGCAUUUGACAUGUGCAGCUCUUCAGGUAGGUUUAUUCAGCGAUUACCGGUCAUAUUCUACAUAUAUAUCAGCUAUUAUUUCGGACUUUAACUUAACUUCUAGAUGUUUGAAGCAUGCAUCAGCGGGAUAGACACCGCUUCACUGACAGUGCCUUCCGUGCGCGAUGUGUUGAGGAGCACGCGCAAUCCGUGAACGGAGCCAGGCGAAGGUAUAAGUGAGGAUUACAGAGCGCCAGGCAGCAACUCGCGGCUGCCCUCAAGAGUCUGACACACUUUGGGAAGUGUUUGAGCAACAACAUCAUCAACAGUAGAAGGCAGCAGAAUCCUGUUUUGUGAGCCAGAUACCAGCACUGAUCACUAAUAUGGAUAAGCUGACUGUUGUUGUGCUGCUGUGUGUUGCUGAACUCACUCAGUGCUUUCCAGUCACAGCAAGUCAAGGUGGACACCAAUCUGUGCAGGUGUUUUUCUGCAAGGAUCCAGGGUGUGCUGCUCGUGUGAGAUACAUAUUUUGUAACAACAUGAAGUUGAACUUCAAUCGCAUUCACAUCACAGAGUGUUCAGGCCCUCCACCACCCAAUAAUGUCUGCCAGCAUGACGGUCGGGCCUUCGUUUCCACAGAUACAGCUGGUUCCUGUGAGUUUGAAGAUAGCGUGGAUUAUAUGGACACUGAAAAAU